CGCGUGCACUCACGGUAUUUAAACCCUCCGGCGCUCUGAGAGACGGUAUCGUUUUGUAAGCAGAGUGCAGUCACGCAAUCAGGAGCAUGCUGGAUGGAAUCCUGGUGUCGCCAAGUUGAGGGCCAGCAGGAUGAGGUGGUUUGGUCCUCACGCUCCCGGGGGUUGAGGAGGGAAGUCGCCCCACCACCCUUACGUCCCCUGUCCCCACCCCCCUCCCUUACUGGGUCUCCCCAGGCUGGGUCCUUGCUUCCUCGCCUCCACGGUUCAGCUGCUUAGUAACGACCGUCGCUGAAGGCAGGCCCACAAUCAUCUCCAGUCCUUGUGAUGGGGCCUGACGGUCAGCAGCUGGAAUCGUCUUUCAAGAGAAGACCGUCACCACCUGCCUCUGAGCAAGGGACAAACUGAAUAAAAAAAAAAAAAAAAAACAUAAUCAAAAAUAUAUUGUACAUAAUCUUGUACAGAAGCGAACAGUUGAAUAUUAGUCUGAAAUCUCAAGCUUUGAUGAAUGAAGGAGAAGAAGAUUUUCGUCCAACCCCUGAUAAAAUGGAUAGGCAGACGGAUGAAAAUAAUCAGUAUAGAGAGAGAGAGAGAGAGAGAGAGAGAGAGAGAAGGAUCUCCAGAACUCCGGAACACGGCCGAGGGUUCUGUUUCUAUGGAAGCUUGCUUCAACUCCACGGCAACAAACCAUGCAGGCGGGAGGGUUAAGAAGCCUCUUCCCUUCACUCGGAUUGGUUAACCUGUAAAUAGAACCCUUUCCUUCUGAUUGGUUAAAACAGAACAGUUUUAAAAAUCUUUGGCGUAAAAACACUAGUACCAGACACACCAGUUGAUCAGAUUCCUGACUCCACCACGAAGACAUCCCUUGAGUCGGCUUUGCAAGAGGGGCUGCCGGGACCACUUUCACAGGCAGAGCAGUCUGCUGCACUUGGGAGGGAGAAGGGGGAGAAAAUGUUGACUUUUUUGACUUUUUAUUAGACAAACAAAUACAAAAUAAAUUAAAGAAAGGAAAAAAGAGUUGAUUUACUAAGCUAUUUAUAUAUACAAAGGCAUAUUUUAAUCUGCGAGCAAAUUGGGGAUUUCAGCUUCAACGGCUCGGUAUCACUGGAACUGCGUGCUAACCCAAACUGGAAUCGGGCUGGUCCUUUCCAGCCCUGCGUUUCAUAUCCCCGGCCUGGAUACCCUGCGGACUGACCCUCUGCAACGCGAAAGCACCCGAGGGCUCAGAAGAGCAACAACAGUGAGCAUACGUGCACAAGCAGAAGGAAUAUUCAGUGUGAGAGACAGAAAAAAAAACAUUUAUGUUAACAUUUAAAAAAAACAAUGCAUUUAGUUCUCCCUUUCGAGGUGUCAUUGGUUGCCUUUGACUGAUUUGGGUAUUUUAAUUAAAAACAUGGGGGGGAGAAUGUUAUAUAUUGUCAUAUCUACAAGCUGGGAGAGAAAUGAAAGCCAAAGUUGAAAACUUUUCAGACAAAAAAAAAAAACAGGGAUGGUGAUCUCUCACACACUGUGUGCAGACUACAAACUAAAAAAUAUACAAGCUGUAUUACACUAUAACCUUUGGUAUAUGGGUGAUAUAUUGCACGGCAUUUUGUUUCCGUCGCUCUGCUGCACACGACAGAUCCGCUAGUCAAGGCAAGCAACGUCACCUUUAGGGCAAACCUGUUUCUUUGUUUUGUUUUGCUCACCCGUACUCACCGUGACAUCAUAGCGUUCUGCAUCCACACUCUAACAAGUAUAUUAUGUUGCAAUAACUUGUUGUUUCCUGCAGUCUGUAUUGUAAAUUAAACCACUUAGUAACGCUCCAGCAAAGGCUUGCACGCUGCUUUACAAGGCACGAUGAGGUAACACCCCCCCCCAGUGCCUGGGCUCCCUCGAACCGGCUCGCUGCCCCAACCCUCAACCCAGCUUACUGGCACCUUAAUCGCCUGCUGAUUGUGAUCUGCAUUAUUUCAAAUAGGACCUGCUCGAGGUAUUUACGAGUUUCCUGAAUGCGUUGUGUGUUUCCGAUUUAAACACACACACACACACACACAAAAAAGCUGUCCUUUCCUCAUGCAUUCAUUCAUGGAGCCUGCAGGACACUCAACAUUACAAAUAGAAAUGGCUUUUACAUGAGGGGGCAGCUGUAACCCUGAGCUUGUACUCCUCAGUGCUCUCUGUGAAAGGAGAGUGCUCCCGUAAUGGAACAAAACUAGUAUUAGGAAAACAGGAGGAGCUGAGAGCCUUUAGGAACAGUGUCCCUUCUGGUUUGCAUGCGGCGCAGACACAAGCCCUCGCUUACCCCCCUGUGACCUGCGUGCCACACUGCUAUACUUGCAGCUGUAAGAGGUUAUAUAUAGUGCAGCUCUGGUAUAACUCAGGAUGCAAAACAGAAAUGGAAAAUGUUUGACUUGUGUACUGCUAUGUUCAAUUACAGGUUCAUAAGCCGCCUUAAGCAUUUAAAAGCUUUUUUUUUUUUUUUUUUUUUUUUUUUAAAUCGGCCUUCUUGGUUUUGUACCGCUGCCAGUUUUCUGUUCCUUUUCACGAGUGUGCUGUUCUUGUAUAAGCCUGCAGUGUCUGGGGGAGCUUCGUGUGAGUCUGUGCGCUCCUCUCUGAAGGGCUGCUGCAGCCUCUCCUCUCAGGGGACUGCAGGCUGUGAUCCAUGCAUCUGCUUGUGGUAAUAAAAAUAACCUGUGUUUGCCUGUAGCCCCGUGUCUCCGUUUGUGGAUCUGACCUGCGUGCCCAGAAAGAUAACAGAUUUUCAGUCCGCAAGUCAUAGUGCAGAAUACCAUAAAGGAACUUGGCCUUUAAUGUCACCACCUUUAGGAAACGACUUCAUCUUUAAAAAAAAAUAACAUAAAUGAUCUGCAUUUGAGACUGCUUUGGUACAUAUGACCACCAGGUGGCAUGCGUCCCAUUAACAAACAAAAAAAGUAUUGCGCUAGUUCAGCGUACAGCGACAGACAACACAUAUGACUUGUUUAUCGUUAAAAAUGCAUAGUAACAAACAGAGUUUGUUUCCCUUCUGCUGUCUAUAAGCGCUAUGCAGCCGAGUGUUAGCCGGUAAGCGCAGUGGCCCGGUGAACACGGCGUGCCCUCACCCUGCGGUCCCGGCGCUGGAGAAUUUGCGCGCAGGUGUGCCGCGCUGGAGUCCUGAUCGCGACCCCGCCCCUCUCCCCAGGUAAGGGACAGCAAGAUGGCGGGGGGAGCAACUUGAUCUGAAUCUGGAGAGAGUAUUCGCGUUUAAACGGUGUGUUAGUGGAGGAUAGUGCGCCGGAGCAGCGGGUCGUUAGUUUCUCCGUCGCUGGUCCUGUUUUUUUUAGCCGAGACCGGAGUUUGGAUACAGCCUGUUUGUUCUCAAGACCUAGCGGCAUGUAAAAUUACAGAUCCUGCGAGGCAGCGAGACGCAGUUCUCAGGACGGCGGGUCGUGUUUCUAUCUCCGCACACUCUUAAACACGUAUCCCAGGGAACACUCAUUCGCAUCCUGUCUGCUGCUCUCUAUUCCAGCAAUACGAACCCUGCUUUCCAAUGUCGAAUUUACGGUUUCAGAUCCUCCUUCUUUCAAAGCUAGUCAUUGUAUCGGAAUGUUUUGUAGAUGCAGUCUAGGUGACUGUGUGUGAGAUUUCCUCAUAAUCUCUGCCGUCUCCAGUAAAUGUGCGUCAAUACUGGAAAAUACUAAGAAAUACAACACUUAUUUGGGCAUUUGAGAUUUAAAAAAAAAAAAAAAAUUAAAAGCUAGCUUUUUCUAGACUCGCCGUGCACUGUACUGUCUCAAAACUCAUCUAAAUGGACAGCUUUAUUUUCAGAUUGACGUCCUUCACAAAGGCUUGUUUUCCGACACUUGGUGUGAAAGGCGCUAUAUAAAUAAAUGCGCUUUUUUACAGUUCUUUGAAAAGUUGUGCAGAACCGGGAUGUGAGGGAGGGGGUUCCACAGUGACAUGCAGGAGGUUAAGAAGUAGUCUGCCUGCUUCCAGGGAGCCUGCAACACGACUGGAGGCAUGGAUACCAGGCACAGUGUGAUCAAGGGUAGUGGGUUAUUCCCUCCAGCCCGUCACCCCGGCCUGUGUCUGCAGGGUGGCAGGUGAAGCAGGCAUCCUCAGGCGAGCACUGUUGUGGAUAAUUUGAUCAGUUUAGGUUUACAAUGCAGAACACGGUUUCAUUUUUUUAUUUUUGUAAUCCAGUAAUUAAUACACGUUAGCAGCACAAAAUAAAUAAAUAAAUAAUACUAGUACAAUUUUGCAGUACAGGUUUUAAAGUUAUGGUUCGUGUUUGUUUUUGAUAAUGGCUUGCAAACACCGCUUGAGCUGUUGAGAGGUUGAAAGCGCAGUGUGUGUGUGUGCGUGCUGUAUCUUCUGUCAUUAAUAACAUCUUGUUUCUCGUUUAUUUUUCAGGACAGUUAGACUCCAGUCCCCAGCACUGAUGCACAUCAAGAGAUCUGCGGUUCUGCCUCUUUAAAGGGAGUCUUGCUGGAUGAGUCACUGUUCUUGUGACUUUUUCCUUUGGAAAGCCAGCGUUUCAACCAGACGCAUCUGCUGUGUGUGUGUGUGUGUGUGCGUGUGUAAACCAGCAACUGUGGGACGAUCUCUGUACUUCAGUACGCUGUGUACUGUUCGAUGUGUUCACUUCAGUUGGCGAUUUCUUUUUUCAUGCAAGCUGGAAGUCCGAUGGGAUCUUGUGCCCUGGGCUGUUUAAUGUUACCAUGAGUAGAGUAUUCCACGAUCACUGGUCAUUGGCAUGUUAGUCGCAUCUUAUUGUGCUAAUAUAACUGCCUUGUCAUUCAUUGUGUAAGUCUGUGUGCACUGUAUGUAAUAA